GUACGGGGGGGGCAAGCGUUGUUCGGAAUUACUGGGCGUAAAGGGCUCGUAGGUGGCCAACUAAGUCAGACGUGAAAUCCCUCAGCUUAACUGGGGAACUGCGUCUGAUACUGGAUGGCUUGAGAUUGGGAGAGGGAUGCGGAAUUCCAGGUGUAGCGGUGAAAUGCGUAGAUAUCUGGAGGAACACCGGUGGCGAAGGCGGCAUCCUGGACCAACACUGACACUGAGGAGCGAAAGCCAGGGGAGCAAACGGGG
rnacentral:rRNA from 1 species